rnacentral:lncRNA from 1 species
UUUACAGCAUAAGGCUGCAUCUGACCCAUUGCAUGAGAAUACAGUCUCUUUGAUCCGCCAACUUCUUUUGAACUGAACGAAGUCGAUGGUGCUGAUUGCAGAGAACGUUGGGUCAUCAGUUGUCUAGUCCUCCCUAGGUUUUCAAAAUUGUCAUUUUCUGGGCAGAAAGUGUGGCCAAUUCCUUUUGCAGAUGUAUGUUGCUGGAUACGAGUGUAACCGGUUCUGUGACACUGUUGGAAUGGAUCGGCAAUGCUAGUAUCUAUAUUACUUGGAUUGACUUUUAAAUUUUCCAUGUGCUGGUCUUUUCUUGGAGGUUGUGAGGCUGCAACCGGUUGUCUAGUCCUCCCAAGGUUUUCAAAAUUGUCAUUUUCUGGGCAGAAAGUGUGGCCAAUUCCUUUUGCAGAUGUAUGUUGCUGGAUACGAGUGUAACCGGUUCUGUGACUCUGUUGGAAUGGAUCGGCAAUGCUAGUAUCUAUAUUACUUUGAUUGACUUUUAAAUUUUCCAUGUGCCGGUCUUUUCUUGGAG